UGCGAUGUCAACGACUGCUACAGACCGUGACAUAGUGAUUCAGAAACUCGGGAAAGAUUCGUUUUUUCAGUAUGUGUGUGGAAAAAGAUUUAAUGCAUGAGAUAAAUAUGAUAUUGGUGUCUUUAUUUCUCAUAAUUCAAUGCGUUCUGAUAGGAGAUAAGAAUGAUUUAUAUGCGCAAUAUGUAUGCGCUGUUGACGUUCGUGUAAUUAUUUUAACGACGAGCAUGUAUUAUAUCAUUUCUAAAUAAUAUUUAAAUUUUAUUUUGCGUUUCUAAAUGAUAUUUUUGUUUUCUAUUUUUAAAUAAUAUCAUUAUCGAAUAACGAUGUUUGUCAUAAAAUGAUGUCUAUCGUGGAAAAAAAUAUUUUUGAUUAAUCAUUGUCAGAUAAUCGUUUACGAGAUAUCCUAACACGUACUUUCUAAUAUUUAAUAUUUAAUAUUUCCUAUAAUGGAAUAUUAAUGGAUAAAAUAAAUUAAAAUUUCGAAUCAAGUUAGGAUAAUGAUUGGUGAAAGUAUGUACAUAUUGCAGCAUCUUAAAAUAUUAAUUAUACACUAUUGACGACAAUUUCGCGAAAAAUCUUAUAUGUAUUUUAUCUUUUCUGUUUUGUACUUUGAAUUGGAUUCAUGUUUAAUGAUUCACUAACAAUAAAAUUACAUUAAACAUAAAUGUUUCAUAACUUUGUUCUUUCAUUUCCUUGUCGCGUUCACAGUGAAUCACAUCAUCGGUAAAUUUUCCACAAUCAGUUUCAUGCAAAACCAUUGCUUGUGACUUAAUUAUGGAGCAUGAACAUAAAUGUGAUCCUGCAUCGCUUUAUUGAAGAUCAAAAUAAUGACACUGCAAUUCGCGAAACAAUAGCUUUUUAAAACGAUUUUAAGAAAUUUUAGAUAAAAUAUUAUACAAUUUCUAUUUUGUGAAAUAUUUAUUCUCAAUGAAUUUUUUUUUAUCGUAAUUUUACAAUACAAUAUUUUCAAUCAAUGAUUACAAUUUUUUCAUCAAUGAUUCUUUUCCUUUUUUAAUCUUCUAUGCAGCAUUCUUUCUGAAAAAUUCUUAGCAAAUUUUAUUACUUAUAAUUUUACAAUAUUUUUUUUCUUCGAAAAGUUUAUUAUUUAACGGUUCUCUCCUUUAAGAUCUGAAGUAAAAUAUUGCUUGAUUUCACGCAUAGAAUUAAUGUGCAUGUGCUGUCAAGUAUCCAUAGAUUUAUAUACAAUGACAUAGCUUUGCAUCUCACCAAUUAUUCCAAGUAAUACAUCAAUUUAAUAUUAUUCCUAUAUAUGAUCAUUAUAAAACAGUAUUAAUCACGCCAAUUAAAAAAUAACUUCGUUAACAUGUGUAACGAUGUCAAUUCAGUCUAAUCGGUGAUCGAGAUCGCGUAAUUGUAUAUCCGCUCCUAUUUAUGUCUGGAUAAUUUAUAUCGAGGGGCGUAAAACUGUGACUUUUCCAAUUUUUCUCCAUUUUUACAAUUGAAUAAAAAAAAAUAUAAUCAGUAAAUAUAAAUGAAAAAUAAGUUUCUUUCCUUUUAUAAUUAUAUUGCAAUUGCUUAAUUAUUGCAUUUAUUUAUUUUAUAUGAUAUAUAAAGAAGGGUCUGGUUCGUGUGUCACGAUAUUUUUUUGAAUAUGUAGAUUGGUUUCCAUUAGAAAGUUGAUGAAAUCGCCUAUCUUAUCUUUCAAGAACAAAGUUGUCUUUCUGGUGGAUCGAGCCUAUAUGUUUUUUCUUUUAUCUAUGAAACCGUACUUCAUACACUGCGUAAUAUAUUUGAGUGUAAAACUCUCGACAGUUGUUAUCGAACGUGUUUGUAUUUUUAACGCAUAAUGUAACAUAAUAAAGUAGAAAUAGAAUUGACAACUCUCGAUAAUUUUAAAAAAGUUACUCGAAAAUAUGCAAAUGGAUAUAACGGAAAAGAGUUAACGACUUCGAGGAAACCAAUCAUCAUUUUCACCAAGAUACCACCAGGAAGAGUGGACCUCCAUCCAUUCCCCAUAAAUGGCGCACCUUCUCGAGGAAACGAGUAUCCAGUUAACCGUUCUGGCAUUAAGAACUUGUUACGUACAGUUUUAUAAAUGCGAAUCAUCCUUGUUAUCUAAGUUAUCUUUUUAGUUAUCUAAAUUUUCAAACGUCUCGAGUUUUAUCCUAUUUCUUUUUACCACUAUUCUUCCUUGGAAUAAAAUCAAACUGUUUUUAAAUUUCUAUUCAAUGAAGGAUAAAAGAUAAAUUUCAAAUAUAUCUCAAGUUUUCCUUGUCUUUAUACUUCUUAUAAAUUAAAUUACUUUUAGAUAUUCCUAAUUUUUCGACGUAUUUAUGCAAAGCGUACAUAGAUACGAUUGAGUUAUAUCGAAAAGUGGAAUAUUUUAUCUAAAAAUGGGAUGUACAGAAAUUUUCGAAUUAAAGAGGUCGCUAAGAUUUUUUCACCGAUAUUGAUGGAUAUUUUUAACUUUCUCACGGUUUCUGGUCAAUCGCACGAUCUCUUCGAAUGCACGUGAAAAAUAUGUGCAUAUAUCGAUGACAAGUUUUUAAUACAUUAAAGCGGAAAGUGGAGCGGAAACGCGGAGAAGCGUGUCUACCCUCGUGAUUACGCGCUGUCAUUUAAACUUCACGCAAGAGAGAACAAUAGCUUUCCCCAGUGGUUAAUUUAAUUAAUUAUUAGCUACAUAAUAAAACGCGUGUAUCAUAUUCCUUACUACUUCACCAAUUUUUUUAUUCCGACCUCGUCUCCUGAAAUAUGAAAGUGUUGAGUUGAUGUCUCCUUCGUUUGACAAAAGAUUAUACUAAUUUUGAUUGAAAUUUUCUGAAUUCUAGAAUUUCCAUGUAUCUUAAAAAAAAUAAAAUAUUAACUACAUAGGA